rnacentral:siRNA from 1 species
AUCAUCGAGUUGAUACCGUUGCCA